UGUGGAGCAUACUGACUAAAUUUUAAUUGCUACACCAGGGGAAACACGGCCCUGUACAUGAUUGUGUAUCGCACACGGCUAAGACACACGCCCGUGUCUCUACCCGUGUAGACAAAAAUAGGCUAUUUACCAAGUUAUUUUGCCACCCAAACUUGUGCUCACCUACAUCAAACUUAAAGGCACCAAUACAUAGCAUCCAUA
rnacentral:lncRNA from 1 species